AAAUUGAAGAGUUUGAUCAUGGCUCAGAUUGAACGCUGGCGGCAGGCCUAACACAUGCAAGUCGAACGGUAGCACAGAGAGCUUGCUCUCGGGUGACGAGUGGCGGACGGGUGAGUAAUGUCUGGGAAACUGCCUGAUGGAGGGGGAUAACUACUGGAAACGGUAGCUAAUACCGCAUAACGUCGCAAGACCAAAGAGGGGGACCUUCGGGCCUCUUGCCAUCAGAUGUGCCCAGAUGGGAUUAGCUAGUAGGUGGGGUAACGGCUCACCUAGGCGACGAUCCCUAGCUGGUCUGAGAGGAUGACCAGCCACACUGGAACUGAGACACGGUCCAGACUCCUACGGGAGGCAGCAGUGGGGAAUAUUGCACAAUGGGCGCAAGCCUGAUGCAGCCAUGCCGCGUGUAUGAAGAAGGCCUUCGGGUUGUAAAGUA
rnacentral:rRNA from 1 species